rnacentral:rRNA from 1 species
CCUACGGGAGGCAGCAGUGAGGAAUAUUGGUCAAUGGCCGAGAGGCUGAACCAGCCAAGUCGCGUGAGGGAAGACUGCCCUACGGGUUGUAAACCUCUUUUGUCGGGGAGUAAAGUGAUUCACGUGUGACCUAUUGUGAGUACCCGAAGAAAAAGCAUCGGCUAACUCCGUGCCAGCAGCCGCGGUAAUACGGAGGAUGCGAGCGUUAUCCGGAUUUAUUGGGUUUAAAGGGUGCGCAGGCGGAGGUGCAAGUCAGCGGUAAAAUUGCGGGGCUCAACCCCGUACUGCAGUUGAAACUGAAUGCCUUGAGUGCACGAGAGGUGUGCGGAAUGCGUGGUGUAGCGGUGAAAUGCAUAGAUAUCACGCAGAACUCCGAUUGCGAAGGCAGCAUACCGGCGCGCAACUGACGCUGAUGCACGAAAGCGUGGGUAUCGAACAGGAUUAGAUACCCCAGUAGUC